AAACGAAAUGCGGUCAGUGACCUCGCACGUUUUUUUCAAUCUUUCAAUUUUGAGAAUACACAAUUUUCAAUCCUGGUGUUUGCAUAUAUUUUUUAAUGAUUUGGAAAUUUGGAAUAAUGAUUCGAAAAAGGUUGCUGUAGGCCAUUAGCAUUGACCGUGCAUAUAUGCAGAUAAUUUCUCAUGGUGGUUUAUAGUUGGAUAUUUUAAAUUUCAUACAUGG